UGGGAUAACUUCGGGAAACCGGAGCUAAUACCGGAUAAUAUAUUGAACCGCAUGGUUCAAUAGUGAAAGACGGUUUUGCUGUCACUUAUAGAUGGAUCCGCGCCGCAUUAGCUAGUUGGUAAGGUAACGGCUUACCAAGGCAACGAUGCGUAGCCGACCUGAGAGGGUGAUCGGCCACACUGGAACUGAGACACGGUCCAGACUCCUACGGGAGGCAGCAGUAGGGAAUCUUCCGCAAUGGGCGAAAGCCUGACGGAGCAACGCCGCGUGAGUGAUGAAGGUCUUCGGAUCGUAAAACUCUGUUAUUAGGGAAGAACAAAUGUGUAAGUAACUAUGCACGUCUUGACGGUACCUAAUCAGAAAGCCACGGCUAACUACGUGCCAGCAGCCGCGGUAAUACGUAGGUGGCAAGCGUUAUCCGGAAUUAUUGGGCGUAAAGCGCGCGUAGGCGGUUUUUUAAGUCUGAUGUGAAAGCCCACGGCUCAACCGUGGAGGGUCAUUGGAAACUGGAAAACUUGAGUGCAGAAGAGGAAAGUGGAAUUCCAUGUGUAGCGGUGAAAUGCGCAGAGAUAUGGAGGAACACCAGUGGCGAAGGCGACUUUCUGGUCUGUAACUGACGCUGAUGUGCGAAAGCGUGGGGAUCAAACAGGAUUAGAUACCCCUGGGUAAA
rnacentral:rRNA from 1 species